rnacentral:rRNA from 1 species
AUGGGAAUAGUAGUGGCAAAUCAGAGGAACGCAUCCCCGAACUCUUUUCCAGAUCUUGUUCUCGGUGAGCCCCCUUUGGACCUGCAUCCCCGUCUUCAUGGCCACCACCACCACCACCAGUCAUCAUCGCCGGCAGCCUCACUUGUGGGCAGGAGAGAACUCCACCUACUGGUAGGUACGUUUGCAGCGGCGGCCGCCGGUGAGGAUGGAGGCGGAGGUGUGAGUACAAGGUGCAUGUGGAGAUUGAGGAGGAAAGGAGAGGCGUGGCAGUGUAGGGAGGCGGCGGCCUCGCAUCAGCAGGUCAGAGACAGGCGCCGCGAGCGAGCGAGACGGGGGAUUCUCUCCCGAUGUCGCGAGGCGGGUGCGCUAUCCCGGGGAAGUCAUGCGGAUCGGGCCGAAAAAAACUCGUGGCUCCGAGCGUCCAAAUGUCCAGAAAUAUUGGCCCGGGUCAUAUCUUCCGCGCGGGCUUCCCACCCAGGGAAUGGGCCGGGAUCCCAAAUGAGCCCAAUGUUCUAUUAA